UACGUAGGGGGCAAGCGUUGUCCGGAAUUAUUGGGCGUAAAGGGCGCGCAGGCGGUUUGGAAAGUCUGAUGUGAAAGCCCACGGCUCAACCGUGGAGGGACAUUGGAAACUGUCAGACUUGAGUGCAGGAGAGGAGAGCGGAAUUCCACGUGUAGCGGUGAAAUGCGUAGAGAUGUGGAGGAACACCAGUGGCGAAGGCGGCUCUCUGGCCUGUAACUGACGCUGAGGUGCGAAAGCGUGGGGAGCAAACAGG
rnacentral:misc_RNA from 1 species